AUUGAACGCUGGCGGCAUGCCUUACACAUGCAAGUCGAACGGUAACAGGUCUUCGGAUGCUGACGAGUGGCGAACGGGUGAGUAAUACAUCGGAACGUGCCCGAUCGUGGGGGAUAACGGAGCGAAAGCUUUGCUAAUACCGCAUACGAUCUACGGAUGAAAGCAGGGGACCGCAAGGCCUUGCGCGGACGGAGCGGCCGAUGGCAGAUUAGGUAGUUGGUGGGAUAAAAGCUUACCAAGCCGACGAUCUGUAGCUGGUCUGAGAGGACGACCAGCCACACUGGGACUGAGACACGGCCCAGACUCCUACGGGAGGCAGCAGUGGGGAAUUUUGGACAAUGGGCGAAAGCCUGAUCCAGCCAUGCCGCGUGCAGGAUGAAGGCCUUCGGGUUGUAAACUGCUUUUGUACGGAACGAAAAGCCUCUUUCUAAUAAAGGGAGGUCAUGACGGUACCGUAAGAAUAAGCACCGGCUAACUACGAGCCAGCCGCCGCCGUAACAC
rnacentral:rRNA from 1 species